rnacentral:tRNA from 1 species
GCCCCAUUACUUCAGUGGUAGAAGAGCAAAUUCUAAACUUGUAUGGCGUUGGUUCGAGUCCAACAUGGGGCA